UCAAAUACACCAAUUUCAGAUUUAUUUAGUGGAUACUUACAGUUGUGACCAUUGACUUCUUUAUAAAAAAAAUAUUCUUUAAACACAGCUCGAAGCUGCUUGCAUUAUUAAAAGUACCUGUAUCUGGUAUUAUUGUGCUCUUAUUCUUUUUUUACUCGAAGGAUAUUUAUGAGAAUCAUUUUGUGUGCUUCCUCUCUCUAGUUUAAAAUAAGGUGAUUGUGGAAGUCCUAAUUGCAGAAAAGGCCAGUGACUGAUGACAUUUAGUCUUCAUUAUUUCUUCAUCUUGAUCUCAAUGUUUUCAAAGAGAAAACUGUGCAAAAAAUUUUAGCUUAGUUUUUUAAAAGUAGUUUUAUAGAGGUGACCUCUAACAAAAAAUCAUUUUGGCAGAAAAUCAUUUGAUGGAAUAAGUAUCAUCUUCAGACUCAUUAUGAGAGAGAUUUUUUUUGCACAUACCUACCUCUAAAAGGCAAGCAUUGUUUUUUCCCCCUUAGAAUGAAGCUUCCUUAUCGUCUUAAAUGAGAUGGAUGUAAUUUAAGCAUAAUUAUCUCGAAUUACUUUCCAAGAGUUGGAGCGAUGCGGCUAUGAGUAAUUACGCUCUUUCAUUUCAUGUUCUUACAUUUUGGGGCCUGACACAUUGUUUCGAAGAGAAAAAUUAUUUUUGCUGGGUUCAUUACUUUACCGGGUGUUUUUGACUUGUGUGUUCUACUUAUACUUUUUAGUCUUCGGUCCUGAUUUUUCUGUUACAACACGACUAUGAUCAUUUUGGGCCUUUCCAGCCUCUCGACAAGUUCGCGUGUUCGCGAUUGCUAUAUGUUUGACCUAAAGAUGGACCGGAAAGGCUCGAAAUGAUCAUAGUAGUGUUGUAACAGAAAAAUCAGGACCGAAGACUAAAAAGUAAGUAAAACACACAAAGAGAAUUAUUUAUUUAUUUCACCUAAAAGAGGAAUAAUUAACUAAAUUGUUAAAAUAAAUGACUCACAUUACUUAAAAUACUUUAAAAUGCGAAACCUGUUAGACAUCCCUAGUAAUACACAUUACCACGUGUGCUUUGUGAAAAAAUUGAACAUCAGAGCUCAUUUUCUCGCUUUCAUAUUGGGGCCAUGGACGUCUGUACAACUGCUGAACUUUAAUUUUGAUUUUUCAAAAUCACAAAGAUGUCACACUGCUCUUUCAUUCAAAAUAUCCUUCAUUUGACAACUCUUCUCAAUUAAAUUUUUGAAAGCUUGUGCGUUUGGGAGAUGUAUUUCCUACAUUUUUAGUUGGUUGUUAGGAUUUACUAAAAAAUGGAGAUAGGAGGCUCAGAAGAAAUAUGAAAUGAAGUUGGUUACAUUUAAUUCAACAUCCAAAUUAUAGAUUGAGCUCAAACUAAACCAGGUAUUUAAUCUCUAGGUUGUCAAGAGUGUAGGAAAGGGGAUCCCUGGGAGGUGCGGUUGCCAUCUUUCGGAAAAAGUUGUAACUGUUCAAUUUUAUUGCACUCCUAAGAGAUAGGUGAUAUAAUACUCCACAAAAAAUGGUCUGCGCACCAUCCUGAGGCUUCUUAGCGGAACAGUUCAUCCAUACUCAUGUUCAGAUAAAGUGUUCAUAGAAUCGUACCUGUGUUAUGUAUGUUGAUUGGUUGAUGAGUAUUUGAAACAGUGCAAAUGUAUUCUAACAUGCAAUAUAUCAGCGGUGAAACUAAAAGACCAUGUAUCUCGUUUGCAGUGUUUAAUAAUCUCUGUUCACAUUUUAUUUUUUUCAAGAGGAACAAAUCAAUAUCAUUCCUUGAAGUUUUCGGAGUUUUCUACGAACAGUGAAGAAAAAUUGAGUGAUUUCUCAAGAAUUGCCAUUCAGAAGUUUUCUGUUUAAAAAUUGAGUAUGAGAAGAAGUCUUAAACAACGCAAACCAAGAUAGUUUGUUUGAUAGUUUCACUGUCAAUAUAGACUUCAUGAGGUUCAAAUCUCAAAAUAUCACUGUUUGGGUCAGCUGAUCGUUGGCUCAAAAGUGUCAGUUCUGUCUAGGCAAGAACCCAUGCUAAAAGAAGACCAGGCUAGCAUUUAAAAUGUUCCUUACAGCUCAAAAAUUCCAGUAUGUUACCCUCUUGGGGACAAACUUAACUUUAUCUGCAAUUUGUCUCCUAUUUGUUCGUAUCCGGUAUUCUUGACAUUCACCCUUAGGAAUACGCACGUCAUGGAGAUUCUAAGGCUUUGGUCGUCUGAUAGCACCUAACCCAGCAGUUAAUACCCUGAAUUUUUUGUCGCUUAAGUGCAUACUAUGUCACUGAUGGUUCUGAUAUUUAACCAUGGCCCUCCUAUCACGUCUGACAGCUCCAGUGCGGAGGUGCCUCAAGUUAACACUUGUUUCUCGGAGGCUCACUUGCUUUUCUGGUCUCCGUCUCUUGGCUUUGCCUCUGCUCCUCUCUCUCUCGAUUUGGACUUUGGGUAUUUUUUGGAUUCUCUGGAUUUUGGACUUAGAACGACGUUUGGGUGACCCGUCGAAAGACUGAUUUUCUAUUUGAAUCUUCCAUAUUAGACCAACUUACUUUGAAAUUUUUAAUUUUUCUUUCAAUUUUUCGGAGUUGAAUUUGGAUCCAUUACAUGGAAAUUCUUAAUUUCUGAAUAAAUUGUUGCAUUCUA